rnacentral:sRNA from 1 species
GAUAAUGAAUGAUCCGGACACACUGCCCGACGAAGUUCGGGAAAAGUUGGCCGAGCUCGACUUGGAGCUGAGCGAGGGGGACAUCACCAAGAAGGGGUACGAUAAGAAACGGGAUGCGCUUUUGGCGCCUUUUAAGAGUCUGCGGGCAGCAAAUGGUAAGGGUUAUUUGGAAUUUAAAAAAUCGAAAAUUAAUUGUUUUAAAUUGAGUUGAAAAUAGAAAAAUAAAUCAAAUAAAAAAUUCUACAUAAUUCUACGAAACUGUCCAUUGUGGAGUGGAUUUUUCCACUAUUUUUCAUCAAAAAUUAAUGUAAAAAUGCUGAAUACAAUUGAAUUUAACGGAAAAUAGCUUCAAUUUCGGAUUAAUGCAGAAAAUUAAAACAUUCAACAAUUUUUGAUUUUGAAAACUAUUUUUGAAAGUAUUCUGCAAAGAAAAUUGCUUUUUGUUUCUAAUUUUAACUUAAAAUUUUUACAAGUUUUUUUUUUCAGAAAUAUUUAAUAUUUAUAGAAAUCACUCACAAAGUACAGUAAUCCAAACGAUAAAAAUUUAAAAUUUUUAACUUCAGUUAGUAAUUUUAAAAAUUCAUUUAAAAAGUAAUCUGCAAAUAAAGUGUUUUUAGAAAUACAUUUAUAAUUUUUAACUAAGUUUUUUCCACAGAAAUAUUGAAUUUAAAAAAAAUUGCUCAAUAUAUAUUUUGUGACGAAGCAAAUUUUUAUAUGCUCCUUUUUUCCUUUAAAAACUAAAAUUAGAAAUUUUUUUAACAUGAAAACAUGAGUCACUUUUCACCAGGAAAUUGGGAAGUUUCGCCAUUUUUUUGUUGAAAAAUUAAAUCUGAAAAAAUUAUUUGCAGCACUUCACGCCGAACAAUCAUCAGCUUCACCGAAUUCUCGGUCAAAUCGUAGAAAUCAACGGAGAGUUACUCAAGAUGAUGACAGAUAUCAUUCUGGUGAGAGAGAAUUUAAUAUAUUUUCAGGUUUUCAAAUAAUUUGUUUCAUUUCAGAAAUCCGAGUAGAAGCAGUUCAUCAAGCAUUAGCCGAGUAUUCUGAUGGUCGGAAGCUUGGACCACAACCAGUAAAACCGCAUCGACGAAAUGGAACAUCUGUGAGCAGAUCGUCGAGCGCUCAAAAAAGCAAACGAUCGAAUCACUCGGGAAGAAGGAUGUUGUCGG